rnacentral:lncRNA from 1 species
GAUUGUGGGAAUAGCUGGGACCGUGGCCAGGAUGGGUCCAAACUGAGCUCAGCCCCUCUGGGUUUUUUUCCAUCCCAAUUUUCUCAUUUUUUGGUUUUUUUUCCAUCCCAAUUUUCUCAUUUUUUUGCGUUUUUUUCCAUCCCAAUUUUCUCCUUUUUUUCCAUCCCAAUUUUCUCCUUUUUUGGUUUUUUUUUCCCUCCCAAUUUUCUCCUUUUUUGUUUUUUUUUCCCAUCCCAAUUUUCUCAUUUUUUGGGUUUUUUUCCAUCCCAAUUUUCUAAUUUUUUUUGUUUUUUUUCCACCCCAAUUUUCCCAUUUUUUGGGUUUUUUUCCAUCCCAAUUUUCUAAUUUUUUUGGGUUUUUUCCAUCCCAAUUUUCUCCUUUUUUGGGUUUUUUUUCCAUCCCAAUUUUCUCAUUUUUUUGGGUUUUUUUCCAUCCCAAUUUUCUCCUUUUUUUGGGGUUUGUUCAAUCCCAAUUGUUUCUCCAUCCCAGUUUUCUCCGCUUUUGGGGUUUUCUCCAUCCCAAUUUUUUCUCCUCGUUUGGGGUUUUUUCCAUUCAAAUUUUCUGCUCUUUUGGGGUUUAUCCCAUCACAAAUUUCUCCUCUUUUUGGGGUUUAUUUCAUCCCAAUUUUCUCCUCUUUUUGGGGUUUGUUCCAUCCCAAAUUUUUCUGCUCUUUUGGGGUUAUUUCCAUCACAAUUUUCCC